ensembl:lincRNA
GAUUCUUCUGUAAAUUUGCUCUUGGAAAGUGAACUUGGUGUUGUGGGGACUCAAAUCCAAACUUUUUUUUGAAACCAUUUACUCUCUUUCCACCCAACAAAGUAGCAGAACACAUUAGAACGAAAACAAUGGCUUUCUUCUAAAAGCGCCGUAUACCAGGCUUCAUUAUGUCUCCUGCUUUGCUUCCCUCUAGUGUCUCCAAGUGAAACGUGCAUGCAAGUUUUACACAGGGCCACGUCCUGCUCAAUGAAUGUGAGAAACUGUAGAAGCUGUAGAGAUGCUUCUUGUCCUUUUAAAGAUCUGAAUGCCGUCUGUUUCCCUAAACCAUCGACUCCACCUCUCCAAAAUACUUGGAUUUUUAAGGACCAAGAGCACGAUCAUGUGUUUUUCUGUAGAGAAUGCCUGGUUCUACUUUUUUAAAAAUUUAAACUUAUUAAUACCAGAGGUCAUAAAAGUGAGCAGAUUUCAAACUCAACUUGUAUCUUACAGACUUGUCAAAGAAAACUCUGUUCAAAGCUUGUACUACAGCAGGAUUACUGGACAAGUAUUGCUACUUGGUCUAAAUGAGACUCACUGUGCUUUGUGGUCACUGUGGGCUUGUGCUUUGGAACUGUGAUUCAGAACCACUCAAAGUCCCCUUUGUUCGAAGGCAGGGAAUACAUCUCCAAACACGUUUCCAAGACUCAAGAUCUCACCUUUCAGGUUGGAUGGCUCUCCCUAGUGACAUAUGUGUUAAUCAAAGAAUCUAGGUGUGAUUGUCAGUAAGUGACGCCUCUGCCUUUUUCCCAAACGAGACGAUGUACUGUGACUUGAAUUGUGUGUGCUACCAGCAAGAGACAUCAUAUAUGCCAUCUCUGCCUCCUCUCCAUCACAGAGUAACCUAGGUGACAGCUGAAAAGCAUCAAUCUGAUUUUAGUCAGUCAAUUCUCCAAUGUUUUUAUUUUUAGGGAUUAAAGGUUAUUUUCUUUUUUAAGAAACAAUGUAUACUAAUUCUUGGAGAAUUUCACAUAUGCAUGCAUUAUAUUAUAAUCAUAGUCACCUCCCACUAUCUACCUGUAGACCUCAUAUAUCCUUUUGAAAUUUAAGGGAGAAUUGUUGGGCUGUGAUUGACAUCCUUGGGAAGAAGGGAAGAGGUGAGGUAAAGAUGAAGUGAGCCUGGGUGAGACGCUUCCUUUGGCUUGUUUUAGAGACACUUGGGUGUGUUUAUUGGCAUGGCAUCUGUUAACUUGUCUUAGAGGCCCACCUUUUAUUUGAGGUAGCUUUUUCUUCAGUAUGCUUAACUGUGCAGAAACUUCUCCCAGUGCCAGACUCCCCUGCAAGUUAGAAACAAAUUAAGUUUUAUUGUUUGUUCCAUAAGUAGAAAAAUAAUAUCGAGAUGAUUGCCUUGCAAUUCAGUGUUGCUUGGUACAGAGGCAAUGGUUGAGCAAUUUGAGUGCUUCAAAAUUGUGAUAAUUUGUUAUUACACAUUCUUAUAAAACCGUAAGCCCUGAGGCUAUUGGUUGCAGUCCAUAACUUGGUGGAAAAACACUUACUUGUCAUCAAACAUGGAUAAGUCAAGCUGGUGCCCAACUAGAGGCCUCAUCCCUACUAACUACCAUUCGUAGUUCAAAAGGCACUCUGCAUGUAGUGGAGGAGGAAGGUAAGCAUCAAUGUCACCCAUGUACAGAGGCUGUGAUCUACAGCAGCAAGAUUCACUGGUGCCUAUUGGCACAAGCAUAGGAGUAGCCAACCACCUUCAGAUUGCAUUUAAGGCCCACUCCAUGAGAUGCAGCUCAUACCUGACACUGAUGCUAAAGUGGUCAAGAGCUUGAGACUAGAUAGGUCAUGGGCCUAGGGAGAAAUUUUAUUACUAUUAUUUUUCUAAUGAAACAUAGCAAUAAAAUGACUCCUAAUGUCACACUGCUGUACCCAUAGAUCAGUGCGUCAUUCAAUGUGCAGCAGACUGCUUCUUUUUGCAACAGAUGGAAAGUAGCACAGAGAUCUGCUACCGGACAAUGUACAGAGAGUGAGAGGCUUUAGAGAGCUCGGUCCUAAACGGGAGGUCUUCAUCAAACCCCUCCCUCAAGGCUCGGGGAUCUAUGCGGAAGAGAAGGCAAAAGGAUCCCAAGAACCAGAGGUGCUGGAUGACUACAAGGUGACAGCUUCCCCAAGACACAACUGGACUGAUGCACUAUGAGCUCAGAGACUGUGGUACUGCACGUCGGACCUUGCACAGGCUCAUAUCAGAUGGGAUACCAGCGCUGAGGAGGGGGAGUAGAUAAAAGGUCCACCGCUAACCAACACGUUAUUUGCAAUUGAUAUCUGCUGGCAGAGGGAAAAUCGGUUUUCUACAAUGAACCAUGACUGGAUCUAUCAACCAUAAUCCAGGGAAGGCCCCCACCGUCCCCCCCCCACUACUAACUUCAUUUUAUCAUCUUUGUCUUAUUUGUUGUUUUAUUUGUUUUUUUGUUUGUGUUUGAAAAAGAGAGAAAACACGCAAUUGGGUGGGUAGAGAGGUGAGGAAAAUCUGGAAAGAGUUUGGGAAGAGGAAAAAUGUGAUGAAAAUGUUAUUUUAUGAAAAACAUUUUAAGUAAAAAGUUUAAAAAAAAAAAAGCCGGGCAGUGGUGGCACAUACCUUUAGUCCCAGCACUAGGGAGGCAGAGGCAAGAUGAUCUCUUUGAGUUCAAGACCAGCCUGGUCUACAAGAGCUAGCUCCAGGACAGCCUCUAAAGCCACAGAGAAACCCCGCCUCGAAAAACCCAAAAAAACAAAACAACAACAACAAAAAACCCAAAAAAUCAAAACAAAUUGUCAAUGAACAUUUUAUUUUACUGAAAGUGUUAUUCUACUUUUAUUAGUCAUUACUAGCAACUUUACUUUUAAUAGAAAUCAUAACUUGUAUUUGUAUUUGUAGGUGAAUUUUAAGAUGGAAAUAUUUGUGAAGGGCUACUUGUUAGUGUAACAACAGUGGCCAGAUCCAUGGGUUUUAGGGGGACAUUGGCAGGAAGGUCUCCGUGAGCAAGGACCCUCUGGGACUGAAGGCUUCCUGAGGCCAGAGAUUUUUGAUUUAUGUACUCCCGUCUCUGUCUAACAAAGUGCCUGACGUAUUGUUAAAGAGAUCUCUGAGAGUGUUUGCUGCUUUUUCCCCCCUCUUUGUACACAAAUUUUCUCUUUCAGCCAAUGUUUUCACAAAAAGAGAAUGACUUUGCUGCUUUUUGAUGAACAGCUGGGUUCUGCUGCCUAAUGCGUUCUUGAAAGAUGAAGUAAUCUUGAGAACUCUGACAUGCUUGGGUGACUGUUUCCUACUCUCUUGCUCAUAGUUUUCAGUGACAUUAUUUAUGAAACUUUUCCUUUAUUUAAUAAUUAAAUUAGAUCAGAAAUGUAUCUAAUAUUAAAUGUUUAAGUAUCCAAAUAAAAGAAUUCUCAGUGUUCAGAGUUGAAAAGGGGAAAGGGUCAUUAUAUUCCAUUAUUGUUGUUAUGUGUGUUGGGAGGGUGCUCAUAGGGGGCCAGAUGACAGUCUUGUGGAGUAGGUUCUUUCUUUUCCUGGGCUCCCGGGACUGAACUCAGAUUAUCAGGUUGGGUGACAAAUGCCUUUACCAUCUCUCUGGCACUAGAUUUUUAUUGUUGCUAAAAAUUUCAGUUGAUUAAUGUCUUUCCUAGUCUACGACCCGUAGCCAUCAAUAAAUGUCAUCAGCACCAAAAUUAAAAGUGUAUUUCAUAAUCAAAUGAAACUUUUGAGAAAUAAUUUCUCAAGGG